rnacentral:rRNA from 1 species
CGGCAACAGCUCAAAUUUGAAAUCUGGCCUUUGGCCCGAGUUGUAAUUUGCAGAGGAUGCUUUUGACAAGGUGCCUUCCGAGUUCCCUGGAACGGGACGCCAUAGAGGGUGAGAGCCCCGUCUGGUCGGAUACCGCGUCUCUGUAAAGCUCCUUCGAC